rnacentral:rRNA from 1 species
AUUGAACGCUGGCGACAUGCCUUACACAUGCAAGUCGAACGGCAGCACGGGUGCUUGCACCUGGUGGCGAGUGGCGAACGGGUGAGUAAUACAUCGGAACAUGUCCUGUAGUGGGGGAUAGCCCGGCGAAAGCCGGAUUAAUACCGCAUACGAUCUACGGAUGAAAGCGGGGGACCUUCGGGCCUCGCGCUAUAGGGUUGGCCGAUGGCUGAUUAGCUAGUUGGUGGGGUAAAGGCCUACCAAGGCGAUGAUCAGUAGCUGGUCUGAGAGGACGACCAGCCACACUGGGACUGAGACACGGCCCAGACUCCUACGGGAGGCAGCAGUGGGGAAUUUUGGACAAUGGGCGAAAGCCUGAUCCAGCAAUGCCGCGUGUGUGAAGAAGGCCUUCGGGUUGUAAAGCACUUUUGUCCGGAAAGAAAUCCUUGGCCCUAAUACGGUCGGGGGAUGACGGUACCGGAAGAAUAAGCACCGGCUAACUACGUG